GACCGGCCGGGGGAGAGAGCCAGGGAGGGACACAGGAGACGCGCGAUGCGCUCCAUGUCCCUCCAACACAAGAUAUUCAGUCUUGAUGUGUGAUGAAAGCAGGGAGUCCGGGCCUCUUGCUCAACAACAGUCAAUCAAAGCGGCUGAUGUGGGAAGUGGCUUCUGCUUGGCCGAGAGUUUGGUUGAUGCCACAGAUGACUAGAUUCUUUCAGCAGUGCGGCGAGGACUCCGAAUGGAGCCAUUUGAGUCAUACUAUUUUAUUCCAGUGGAUAACAAGAUGUCAGAGUGUGGGAAAGUUGCAUUGUAGUAGAUAGAAGUGUACUAGUUGCAGCUCCUAACUGAGCAAGUCUACACAGCUACAUAAUGGUUCUUCAUUCUAAAUCGAGACCAAUGGAUUGCCAGGCAGCAUGCAAGAAGAGGACCUGGCACUUGUAGUUCUACAAGUGACAUCAUGCUCAAGCAGGCAUGGGUAAGCUAAAAAUGUAGGCAUGGAAGUGUUGGCACUUCUACAGUUCUACAAGUACUAGCAUGCCCAGUUUAGUCGUGCCAGGAGUUCCUGGGUCCAGUAGUGUACCUGAAAAAAAAUAAAAAUAGAUGUUACCCUUAAAA